UACGUAGGGUGCAAGCGUUAAUCGGAAUUACUGGGCGUAAAGCGUGCGCAGGCGGUUGUGCAAGACAGAUGUGAAAUCCCCGGGCUUAACCUGGGAACUGCAUUUGUGACUGCACAGCUGGAGUGCGGCAGAGGGGGAUGGAAUUCCGCGUGUAGCAGUGAAAUGCGUAGAUAUGCGGAGGAACACCGAUGGCGAAGGCAAUCCCCUGGGCCUGCACUGACGCUCAUGCACGAAAGUGUGGGGAGCAAACAGG
rnacentral:rRNA from 1 species